UACGUAGGGGGCAAGCGUUGUCCGGAAUUAUUGGGCGUAAAGAGCGCGUAGGCGGUCCGGUAAGUCGGUUGUGAAAGUCGGGGGCUCAACCCUCGGAUGCCGAUCGAUACUGUCGGGCUAGAGUCCGGAAGAGGCGAGUGGAAUUCCUGGUGUAGCGGUGAAAUGCGCAGAUAUCAGGAGGAACACCGAUUGCGAAGGCAGCUCGCUGGGACGUUACUGACGCUGAGACGCGAAAGCGUGGGGAGCGAACAGG
rnacentral:rRNA from 1 species